rnacentral:rRNA from 1 species
UACGUAGGGGGCAAGCGUUGUCCGGAAUCAUUGGGCGUAAAGCGCGUGUAGGCGGCCCGGUAAGUCCGCUGUGAAAGCCCAGGGCUCAACCCUGGGAUGCCGGUGGAUACUGUCGGGCUCGAGUCCGGAAGAGGCGAGUGGAAUUCCUGGUGUAGCGGUGAAAUGCGCAGAUAUCAGGAGGAACACCCGUAGCGAAGGCGGCACUCUGGGCCGAUUCUGACACUGAGGAGCGAAAGCGUGGGGAGCGAACAGG